CCCAACGGAGAAUCUCUUGGAAAUUGGUUUGGAGAUGGAAGUGAUAAUACUUCACGAGGUCAAUUUGAUGAAGAAAAUAAAUUUAACAAUUUCACCAAUAAUCGUUAUAUGCCACCGAAGACUUCUCACGCGUGGGGCAUUUUUUUUACAGUAUUAGGAACUGUCCUUCUCGAUUUUGACGCAGAUGCUUGCCAAAGUCCUGCUAGAGCUUAUCUCUUAGACGUAUGUCUACCAGAAGAUCAUGCAAAGGGUUUAUCAACAUUCACCAUUAUGGCAGGCUUGGGUGGAUUUUUUGGAUAUUCAAUGGGUGGCUUGAACUGGGAUGAAACUGAUAUUGGUCGGCGAUUGGGUGGACACGUCAAGGCCGUUUUCUCUAUAAUAACAUUUAUUUUCAUUGGCUGUGUCGCUUUCACAGUUACAAGCUUUGCUGAAAUUCCUCUUUGGGUACUAGCAGACGCGGAAUCUCUUUAUGAUAAAGGAGAAAAUGAAAAAUUGCGAGCCCCAAAAGAAGCAUAUGGUGCCUGCGCAAUAGAAGAGGAAAGAGGUAAAGCAUUCGAGGAACUUGACCAGGUGACUGGAAGGCCAUCCCUCGGCAACAUAAAUAAUGAAACCAGUUUUAUUGAAAAUGCAGACGUCAUGCAAGAAAACUCAGAAGGAGGAAAUGAUGACUUAAUUCAUACCCAUAAUUUUAUGGAAGUAGAGUCGUUGCAACACUAUUUGCUAUCUAUUGUACACAUGCCAUUUUCUUUGAGAAUGAUUUGCCUGACAAACCUUUUCUGCUGGAUGGCACAUGUAUGUUAUUCGCUUUAUUUUACCGAUUUCGUGGGAGAGGCCGUAUUCAAAGGAGACCCAAAGGCAUCGCAAGGAUCUGUACUUCAAAUUCGUUACGAAGAAGGGGUUCGAUUUGGAUGUUGGGGAAUGGCAAUGUAUUCUCUCUCAUGUUCAUUUUACUCACUUAUAAUAGAACACCUCA